AUUGAACGCUGGCGGCAUGCCUUACACAUGCAAGUCGAACGGUAACGGGCCUUUGGGUGCCGACGAGUGGCGAACGGGUGAGUAAUACAUCGGAACGUGCCCGAUCGUGGGGGAUAACGAGGCGAAAGCUUUGCUAAUACCGCAUACGAUCUACGGAUGAAAGCAGGGGACCGCAAGGCCUUGCGCGGACGGAGCGGCCGAUGGCAGAUUAGGUAGUUGGUGGGAUAAAAGCUUACCAAGCCGACGAUCUGUAGCUGGUCUGAGAGGAUGAUCAGCCACACUGGGACUGAGACACGGCCCAGACUCCUACGGGAGGCAGCAGUGGGGAAUUUUGGACAAUGGGCGCAAGCCUGAUCCAGCCAUGCCGCGUGCAGGAUGAAGGCCUUCGGGUUGUAAACUGCUUUUGUACGGAACGAAAAGCCUUCUUUUAAUACAGGAGGGUCAUGACGGUACCGUAAGAAUAAGCACCGGCUAACUACGUG
rnacentral:rRNA from 1 species